UUCAGAUGGAAGAAAAACAGUUUUGUUACCAUCACACAGGAACACUCUCAACUGUCCUGGUAGCAGUAAUAAAGCCCAAAAGUGAAGGCUCCUGGGUACCAGCAGCAGCAGCAGCUUUACUUCCUGUUGUCACAGUGACUUGACUUGACUUCAGUUUUUUAGCUUUCCUCUUCACUUUCUUGGGUUUUGUCUUCUAGAAUUAAUCAGAAAUACAUCUCAAACAAACCCCUUUACCAUU